rnacentral:rRNA from 1 species
GACGUAGGGCGCGAGCGUUGUUCGGAUUUACUGGGCGUAAAGGGCGCGUAGGCGGCGCGGUAAGUCACUUGUGAAAUCUCUGAGCUUAACUCAGAACGGCCAAGUGAUACUGCAGUGCUAGAGUGCAGAAAGGGCAAUCGGAAUUCUUGGUGUAGCGGUGAAAUGCGUAGAUAUCAAGAGGAACACCUGAGGCGAAGGCGGGUUGCUAGGCUGACACUGACGCUGAGUGCGCGAAAGCCAGGGGAGCAAACGGG